GGGUCAGUUCACUGGAAUAUUUCUUCAUUUCCUCCACUUCCGUUUUUCAAUCCAGAAAGCAUUGACUCGGCCUGUGUCCCCGGGCCCGAGACUCCUACUGGUGGCCAGAGCCCCUCUGCUCCUCCCAGGCAACCCUGGCCCCCCUUCCCUGGGCUGUGGGUUACGAUUCCAUUGUUCAGCCAAGAAAAGCCACUUCUGUUUCCAACCACAAAAUUCUCUGGAAUUCUCUUCAGGGACCGCUCAGCCUCCUAAAAGGGGGUCAGACAGGAGCAGUUCGGCAGACAUCUGGGAAGGGCCCAGCUCCGAGGGCCAUGAAGAGCUUUCCCCUGGUUCCUCCCAUUCUCCUGGCCUUCCUCCUGAGCGUCCACACGUACGUCCUACGUACGUAGCUGCCCCACUCUUUCCCGGGGGCUCCUUUCCAGAAAGGACGGUCUCAAGCUUCCCUCCUGUUUUUAGGAGACAGUGACACGGAAAAGUCAUGCUGUUUCCAGUACAGCCAUAAGAUGAUUCCCUGGAACUGGGUGCAAGCCUACCAGUUCACCCAGAUCAGCUGCCCCCAGCAGGGCGUGAUGUGAGUAUCUCCUGGGCGUGCUUUCAGGGUCCCUAGGCCGGCCACGUCACUGGAUGGGGGUACCCAGCAGACCCCCUCAGCAGCAGAAUGAGAAACCUGGGCUCCUGGGUUGGGUCCUGCCUCUGUGACAACAUGCAUGACUCUGAGCUCUGUUUGGAGCCUGCCAUUCACACCAUGGGCCAGGCACUGCGUGACCUGCAGACCCCGCAGGCUCAUGAAAGAAAAGGGGCAAAGGUAUUUGCACAAAAGAGUUGAUCUCGGUCGUGAUGAGUAGACACAGAGAGAGAGAGGAUGAAGGAGCUUGUCACAGUGCCAGGAGGACCUGACUUGGCAUCUGGAAGGUCUCCUUAAGGAAGGGACCCCAAGGAUGAGUGGGAGGACAUUCCAGAGAGGACCGAGGAGCAUGGGAUGAGCCAGAAGCAGGGGGGAGGAUGAACUGUCAGCCUGACAAGGGGGAGAGGCAGCCAGGAAGCGGGGUCAGGGUAACAAGGGAGCUGACACAGGAUCGGGGCUCCUGGCAGGAUUCAAUAGGGUCAUGUAUGCAAGUCCUUCAGCUCCGGGACUGGACACAGCACAUGGUCAAGAAAUGGAAGCUGCCUCCAGGAGCAAGCCCCAAGCGGGAACCAAGGCUCCUGAUCACCAGAGAAUAUGUGAGCAGGAAGAGAAGGGGGCUCUGGGUACAAACCUGAAUGUCAUCAUUUUAGACAGAGUCGAGGGUAGAGACGAGGACACUGAGAGCCUGCACAGAGUUUGGGGAGCUCCAGGGCUCAGGAGAUCCCGGCUCUUCUCCUUCGGGUCUUGAGGGGCUUUCUGGGACUUUAAAGACAUCCACACUGAACCCACAGCUGGCAAAGUCCCUGAGCUGGGGUCAAAGCAGAACUCUGUCUCAAGCUGGGGGACCUUGGACAAGACAAGAUUCCUCCAUUCUAAAAUGAAGGGGACAGGUGUUUAUCAGUUAUCUAGGACCACAUAUUAAACCACCCAAUACGAUGAUGAUACUUUUCUUAUUUCUCAUGGCUUCUGAGAGUCAGGAAUUCCAGAAGGCUUGGCUAGAUGGUGGUGGCUCACAUAACUGAAGUCCGAGGGUGCUAGAACCAGCCUGGCUGGGGGCUGGCGGGCAUCUCUGUGUGGCUGGUUGGGCUUCCUCACAGCAUGGCGGUAGGACUUAGGAGGAGGUCCAAGCUUCCAGCAUGAGAGCUUUCCCACCUUGUGUGACACAGCCUUAGCUGUCACAUAGCAUCACUUCCAUCAUAUUCUCUUAGCCAGCAGUCCCUCAGCCUGGCCUAAAUUCACGGGGAGGGGACACGAGCCUCCACCUGUCAAUGGGAGUGAUGUCAAAGAAAUCUGCAGUCACACUUGCAGACUGUCACAGGGUCCUUCCUCUCCCUUGUUUUCCUGUGCCUUUGGCUCCUCUGCCCUGCAUGUGCCAGGGCCAGCCAGCCAGCCCUGUAGACAUCACUGGUCCCUGCAAACCUGUGCCAUUCUAGAGUAUCCCCAACCUCUCUUCUUGCCCUUCUGAGUGUUCUCAGGGAGCUCAGAGUUGGAGACUUGGGGACAUCAACCAUGACUCCCCCUUUUUUUUUAAAUUUUUUACUGUUGGUUGUUCAAAAUAUUACAAAUUUCUUGACAUAUCAUAUUCCACACUUUGAUUCAAGUGGGUUAUGAACUCCCACCUUCACCCCAUACACAGAUUGCAGAAUCACAUCAGUUACACAUCCAUUGAUUUACAUAUUGCCAUACUAGUGUCCGUUGUGCUCCACUGCCCUUCCCAUCCUCCACCAUCCCCCUUCCCCACCUCUCCCCUCCCCUCCCCUCCUCUCUCUCUACCCCCUCCACUGUAUAACCCUACUCCCCAUUUUUAAUAAGCUCACAGUAAGGAAUGCAAGAACCACAUUUAAACAGCUACAGUGAGCAACCCAAGAUGAUGCAGAUGAGAAUUAAGUGGAAUGGUGGUGUGGGUCCAUUUCCCAGGUGAGGAAAAUAUUCUCCCACUGAUCUUGGUGACAACUGCAUAAGCUAUAAAUAUACUAAAAGCCAUGGAGUUGUGACUCACUUUAAUUGGAUGAGUAAAAUAGUGUGUGAAUUGUGUCUCGGGAAGGCUGUUGUAAAUGGCAGGUGCAAGACACAGGUUACAGAUUAGACCUGUGGGCAAGUGCUUCCUGGGGAGGGGGUUCUCUGAGCCUGGCUUCCUAUGGGAACAGAGAGGAAGAAGAGCAGGGAGAAGAGGGGGUAGGGACAGAGUGUGGCAGGCCUGUGGGAGGGUGGCAAGGCUAGCCAGGGAGCUGCCCUGCCCUCUCCCCCUUCUCCCAAGGGAAGCCAAGGGCUCCCUAGUCACUUACUUCUGUCUUUAUUUCACAGAUUCACCACUAAAAUAGGUGAGAGAGUCUGCGUCCAACCGAAGGAAAAAUGGGUGCAGAGAUACAUUUCUCUGUUGGAAGCUCAGAAAUAAUCGUGACUCUGCUGAGUUUCCAGUCCAGGGACGCCUGGACCCUGCUCUUGGCCCUGUUCCCCUUGGUGGAGCUGGGGCAAUCUCUGCAGAGGGCCUCCUGGCAGGGAGGGAAGCAUGAUUUCCACCAGAGUUUUUCUUCUUUUUUUUAAAUAAAGGUUUUUCAUGAAGAUUUGACUUGUUGUUGAUAAAAUUA
rnacentral:lncRNA from 1 species